ACUUCUGUGGCACAAUGGGUCAGUGUGUUUGGCUGUUAAACCAUGAAGUUGGUGGUUUGAGCCCACCCAGGCAGGA